CAAACCCAGUCAAACUCGAAUACCUUAUAUGAAUUCGUGGCAGUCAGGUGGGGGUGAUAAAAUCCAUUAUCGAGAGGGAAACAGCCCAGACUACCAGCUAAGGUCCCAAAGUUCUAUUUAAGUGGAAAAGGAGGUGGAGUUGCCAAGACAACCAGGAGGUUGGCUUAGAAGCAGCCAUCCUUUAAAGAAAGCGUAACAGCUCACUGGUCAAGCGAUUCUGCGCCGAAAAUAUAACGGGGCUAAAAUAGACACCGAAGCUGUAGACUUGAACGUAUUCAAGUGGUAGGAGAGCGUUCUAAUCAGCGUUGAAGCUAUACUGGUAAAGAGUAGUGGAGCGGUUAGAAGUGAGCAUGCAGGCAUGAGUAGCGAGAAAAAGGGUGAGAAUCCCUUUCGCCGAAAACCCAAGGGUUCCUACACGAUGCUCGUCAAUGUAGGGUUAGUCGGGUCCUAAGCUGAGUCCGAAAGGGGUAAGCGAUGGAAAAUCGGUUAAUAUUCCGAUACCAACUAUAGAGCGUGAUGGGAGGACGCAUAGGGCUAUGUGAGGUCACUGAUGGAAUAGUGGCUCGAAAGGUGUAGGCUGGGAGAGAAAGGAAAAUCCACUCUCCUAUAGCUGAGACCUGACAGGCUGUGGAGGCUCUUAGGAGCCAAAACAGAAUCACAGAUGCCGAAGUGCCAAGAAAAGUCUCUAAGCAUAUCUAUAGUUGCCCGUACCGUAAACCGACACAGGUGGGUGAGAUGAGAAUUCUAAGGCGCGUGGAAGAACCAUUGUUAAGGAACUCUGCAAACUAGCACCGUAUCUUCGGUAUAAGGUGUGCCUACUUAGGUGAAGCUCCUAGCAAGUGGAGCCUGAGAGGUUGCAACAAAGAGUCCCUCCCGACUGUUUAUCAAAAACACAGCACUAUGCUAACUCGUAAGAGGAUGUAUAUGGUGUGACGCCUGCCCGGUGCCGGAAGGUUAAAUGAUGGGGUUAGCCGUGAGGCGAAGCUCUUGAUUGAAGCCCCGGUAAACGGCGGCCGUAACUAUAACGGUCCUAAGGUAGCGCAAAUUCCUUGUCGGUUAAAUACCGACCUGCAUGAAUGGCGUAACGAGAUGGGAGCUGUCUCAACAAUGGAUCCAGUGAAAUUGUAGUGGAGGUGAAAAUUCCUCCUACCCGCGGCAAGACGGAAAGACCCCGUGCACCUUUACUACAGCUUGACACUGCAAUCGGGAUAGAUAUGUGCAGGAUAGGUGGGAGGCUAAGAAGCUAGGACGCUAGUCCUGGUGGAGCCAACCUUGAGAUACCACCCUUAUCUAUUCUGGUUGCUAACUUGCGAGUGUUAUCCACUCGGAGGACAAUGUCUGGUGGGUAGUUUGACUGGGGCGGUCGCAUACCUAAAAAGUAACGGAGGCUUA
rnacentral:rRNA from 1 species